AUGGAGAGUUUGAUCCUGGCUCAGGACGAACGCUGGCGGCGUGCCUAAUACAUGCAAGUCGAGCGGAGCCGCUGGGCGCUUUUGGGCGUUUGGCGGUCGAGCGGCGGACGGGUGAGGAACACGUAGGUAACCUGCCCGCAAGACCGGGAUAACGUUCGGAAACGGGCGCUAAGACCGGAUAA
rnacentral:rRNA from 1 species